rnacentral:lncRNA from 1 species
GCCCUAUCAAGUCUUAAGCACCUAUGGAGGAAAAAGAAAUCCCUUAGAUAACUUAAGCUGUGCUGUGUUCCCACAGGCCCUUCAACAUAGGGAGUCUAGGAAUACACCAAGGGAUUUGAAGGACAGACCGAGCAUCUGGGACCAAUUCUAAGCAAUCUGUCACUUAAGGUAUAAUUCACACCCAUUCUUUAAUACAUCUUGAACAUCCAGUUUGUGUGAAUUGCAUAUAAUUCCCUGGUGCACUAUUAAAAAUCCUUGCAGAGGGAAAACACUAUUGGUGCAGGAAUAAAUUGCAACCACUAGGGGAGAAGUUUUCAACCUUUUUGAAUCCAAGGCUCCCUUGACCAACUACAUUCUUUCUGUGGCACCUGCCUUAAGGGGGUGAACAGGCUGAAACACAACGACUCCCCUUCCUGCCAAAAACGAAUGAAUAAAAUACCAGGUUAACUUAAUUUACAGUACAUCAGACCAUCUAAUGCCCAUGACCCAUCAGCGUGUCUGCUCUCUCUGAGCAUCAGUACGGAAGAGAACACUUCACUCAGAAGUGAAAGUAACUUUUUUUCACAGUACUGAGACUGUGCUGAGACUUCCUGUCUCACACUCCCAGACACUCACAUGAUAUAAACAACCAUUGUGCUGCUCGCUGAGCAGCUCGUGAGAUAAAAAUCCUAACAGACCCAGCUAUUCAAUAUGCAGUAGGUGAAAAAACCAGCCCACCCAGAGGUGGAUCUGCCAAAGAUUCCUACAUGGCCCUGAAGCGACGAAUAAGCCACAUUGAGAGAUGGGGGGAGGGUGGUGCUGCUGGGAAAAGAAGCGGGACGGAGGCAUCCCCCCCAACCCUUAAAAGGACGACCCACCACCACCUCACCCACAAGUGCAUGAUUGAUGCAGAAGCAGCAGAUAUGCUGUCUCCCUAAGUCUGAGCAGGCUGAGGAUACACCCCACUGGCCAGUACUGAGGCAGAAUGGGCAGCUGACUGGGUCUUCCUGUCACCUUGAUUACCAUUCAUUCAGUAGGGAUACCUGAAGAUGGGAAUCCGAAGUAUGGAGUUCUCCACAUUCAUAUACUUCCACACAAGCAGCAAUUUUGAUUUAUUACAAGGAAAAGAAAAACAGAACUAAAUGCACAACCUGUCUAGCCAGUUACAAAUUAAUUGUAUGUAGGCAGAGCCCAGUCAUUGUUACAUUCAAAUAUUCUAUUCUAAAGAAAUCUUAAUUCUCUUAGAGAUAUGCAGAAGGAGUGGAUGUAUCUAGCAUUAUAAAUCUACAGAAACUGAGAGUGCUGAGGAAAGAGUUGGAGCAAAUGCGUGUUGCUAAUUUGCCAUUGUAAGAAACUAUAAUUUAAAUAUCUUUGGGGGGCCUCACUUAUUCCUGCAUAAUAAAUGAAGGUGCAAAAUUGUUCCAUACACCUUACUCUGUCAUGCUUUCCUGAGAUAAGAUUGAGCUGAAAAGGGAAAGACACUACUGUUGGGGGGGGGAGAAGUUCUUAUCUCUGUAGUUCUGAGAACGGGCUUUUCUUAUGUUCUUAUUUAUGGCUCCCAAAUCAGAAAUUUACCCCAAAAUUAGCUUCAUUGUUUGAAGUUGAGUUCCUCCUUAAGGGAGUUGAUAACCUUCAUAUUUGCCAGGGCAAUCUGGUUAAGUGUUAAGUAGGUAGAGGAUGCCAGUUGUUCUCUUAUGUCCUGGAAAAGAUAGAAAAGGUACUAGGGUUAUAGGGCAAUUUCAAUAUUAAACCAUGCCAGCCUGCACUGAGGAUCUGCUUCAUAGAAACAAACCACAUAAAAAGUUAAAAUAAGCACCAAUCUUUUUGACAAAUUGAAUACAUUAAAAUUUCAUAAUUAGGGGUUUAAAACCAUUGUGGCAUUCACCAUGUUGUAUCUGUAUUAUUUUUAAUGUAUUUCACCACAUGUUUACACAGAAUUUAUUACAGAGGGGAAAAGCUCAAAGGGCCAUUUUUUCCUUCCCAAGUGGCUACAGAUGGUUGGAUGUUUACUUAAUUACUUAAGUUUAAGUAAUUAACUUAUUUUUUUACUGAUCCAACCCAAGAAGUGGGCAAAAUAUCCUGAAUAAUAAUAAUAAUAAUAACAAAUAAAUAAAUAAAUUAUUUUUUAUACCCCACCCAUUUGGCUGGGUUUCCCCAAUAUCAAAUAUUGAUUAUAUCCUCCCUUGUUUUUCAGUAACUUAGGCUUUGAGCUGACUCAUAAUUAAAUAUUCCCAAGUGUAUAUAUACUGGUGAUUCAAAGUAGUCCCAGCAGAUUGUUGCUGCAAUCAAGUCAAUACAGCACUGCCAAAUAUAAUUUGCUUUUAAUUGGUGAUGCAUGCACCUCAUUAAUUGGUUUGCCAGGAUGUCACAUCACUCCUCCCAUUUCCUCCACAUAAAAUCCUGAGCGAACUACUUUUCCCGCUUCUUACAUCAAAACAGGUGUCCUGGACAAGCUUCUCUGUGUGAAAGAAACAAGCAGAAGGUUCAAGAUGUUUGGGUUAUUCCUUUAGAGAAGCUGAGUACAGCUGGCUUAAACUGAUUCUGUUAUCUCAUGCUGACUAUAAAAAUAGGCCAGAAGAAGCCUGGGUUUCACUUUCUCUUUCUAUCGCUUUUCAUUCUGGUGUGGUGUUCUGUACAUAGUAUGCUUAGUAUUAAAGUUUACACUUGUAAGUUAUUGCAAGUUUAAGUUAAGUCUGC